rnacentral:rRNA from 1 species
GAUGAACGCUAGCGGGAGGCCUAACACAUGCAAGCCGAGCGGUAGAGUUUCUUCGGAAACUUGAGAGCGGCGCACGGGUGCGUAACACGUGUGCAACCUACCUUUAUCUGGGGGAUAGCCUUUCGAAAGGAAGAUUAAGACCCCAUAAUAUAAUGAUUGGCAUCAAUUAUUAUUGAAAACUCCGGUGGAUAGAGAUGGGCACGCGCAAGAUUAGAUAGUUGGUGAGGUAACGGCUCACCAAGUAAAUGAUCUUUAGGGGUCCUGGGAGGGAGAUCCCUCACACUGGUACAGGGUCACCGACCAGACUACUGCGGCACGCAGCAGUGAGGAAUAUUAGGCAGUGGGUGGGAGCCUUAUCCAGCCAUCCCGCGUGAAGUAUGACGGUCCUAUGGGUUGUAAACUUCUUUUGUACAGGGAUAAACCUACCCUCGUGAGUGUAGCUGAAGGUACUGUACGAAUAAGCACCGGCUAACUCCGUG